rnacentral:tmRNA from 5 species
GGGGCUGAAAUAGCUUCGACGGGAUAAAAGAGAACUGGUUUCAAGCCGAGCAAGUUUGUUUGCCUCGUAAAUCCAACGAACAAGUUGUUUAAGUGCCAACUUAUUUAAAAAGGUCAAAACCGCUUUUAGCGGAUUAGCUUUUGCACCUGUUGUUGCCUAAACGCGACAACCGUCAAUAGAUUUGUCGAUCGGCUGAAUCUUGCGGCGUCAUAAUCCGAUCUACGUCCUGGUGAGAUAGUUUUGGUAAUCAGGAUUAAGUUAAAACAAAAGCAUUCGCCUUGUGCGAUCAGGGGUCUGUCGGCAAAUGUGCUUUUUAAACGAAAUUUGUCAAAUUCGUAGCGAAAUUUUUUAUAAGCGACGAUGUCUAUCAAUGGAAAAAUAAGCGGAGGAGUUUAGAAAAAAUUGCAGUAGAAUUUGGCAAAUUGCAGUAAAAAUGAUAUUUGUCGACAGACCCCACAAAGCUUGUCAACUGCCUUUUUGACUUUAUUUCGGACAGGGGUGCAACUCCCCUCAGCUCCAUUA